rnacentral:rRNA from 1 species
ACAUAAGGGAAAAUAAUGAUAUUACCUUAUUAUUAGUGUCGUCCAAAACUGGUGCCAGAAGACUCGGUAAGGCCAGAGACACAAACGUUAAUCGUCUUAAUCAGGCGUAAAGGGUUUGUAGGCGGCUUUAAAAUUUACUUAUAAAAAUAAAUAAUAAGUAAAGAAUAAAAGCUAGAAUCAAAUAGAGGAUAUAUUAAAUAAUGCUUAGAGUAGGUCUGAUAUCCUUAGAUACUAAGUAGAAUAUUAAAAGCGAAAGCUUUUUUCCAUUAAUGAUUGACGCUCAGAAACGAAGGUGAGGAUAGGAAAUAGGAUUAGAUACCCAAAUACCCCUCUCUGUCAACGAUGAAUGGGAGUUAUUAGUAAAAAUUUUAUUAAUGGCGAUGUUAACACGAUAACCAUUCCGCCUUGUGAGUACAACUGCAAGUUGAAAACAAAAAAAUUAGUCGGUUUCGGAGCAAACGAAGUGAAGCAUGUUAUUUAA